UAUUGCAAACGCAGGCCCAUAUUCAACAUUGAGAUCGAAUGCAGCCCACAAACGAUGAAACCCUAGAUUCUCCAAGUAUGAAUUAUCUAUAAAUUGAGCCACCACAUCAAUAAUUCUACUAUCUCUUGCUAGCUACAAUAGCUGCCUCUUCCUCCUCGCACCAAGCCACACGAGGAAGCGGUCGCAUCUAAAAAUGUAGAGAGAAAGUGAGCUAUUUUUCAGCACUCUCAUCUGGGGUCUUUGUUAAGAUAAGUUGGUUGAAGUUAAAAAAUUUAUUUAAAAAUGAGGUUGCUUUAGAAAUUGUGUGGCUUAAUGAAUCAUGAUAUUUUAUUCUUGUUAUUAUCUUUGAAUGUUUUUAGUUAAUGAAAUAAUAUUUUUAAUGAUUCAUUAGGCUCACACAGUUUCCCAAACAACAAUAUUUGAAACGAUUUUUGCUUCAACAAACUUAUAAAUUUAUAUAAAGACCUCUGAUGAGAGUGUCGAAAUUUAGCUAUAUGUGUUCCUAUCUUUUGGGGAAGUUUUGAUGAUUGAAAGAUGCCAUCAAAAUAUAGCCUUCUCCGUCUACUAAGGUAAUACUAAUAAAUCCAGUUCUGAAAAAAAGGUAAUACAAAUAAAAUUAACUCUUUCCUUACCUUUUUUGUCAUCUUUGUUAUUUUUAUUAUUUUAUUUUAUUUUUCGCUUAUUGUUUAAUUUGUUUCUACUAAUAUCCUAAUCUAGAAUAUGCAGAGCUUGGACUUGUGCGACUUGUUUUCACCACAUGUGGAUAUGAAGUUUUUCUGUUUUAUUCUUCAUUUGUUGUUGUAAUAGUUUAACUAAUUUAUUAAUUUUCUAGAUUAAGUUUGCUUUAGCCUCGUAUUGAAUGUGAGAGCGGCGAGCAAUAAACAAUGAUUCGAAAUAUAUUAUAAUGUCUUGCUACAACGAGUUUUUAAU